GAUGAACGCUAGCUACAGGCUUAACACAUGCAAGUCGAGGGACCGGCGCACGGGUGAGUAACACGUAUCCACCCUUCCCUUUACUCGGGGAUAGCCUUUCGAAAGAAAGAUUAAUACCCGAUGUAAAGGAUGGGGAUGCUUUCCAUUAGGUUGUUGGUGAGGUAACGGCUCGCCAAGCCUUCGAUGGAGAGGGGUUCUGAGAGGAAGGUCGCCCAGAUUGAAACUGAGACGCGGACCAAACGCCUACGGGAGGCAGCAGUGAGGAAUAUUGGUGAAUAGGCGUUAGCCUGAACCAGCCAAGUAGCGUGAAGGAUGAAGGCUUAUGGGUCGUAAACUUCUUUUAUAUAAGAAUAUGUAUUUUAUGAAUAAGGAUCGGCUAACUCCGUGCCAGCAGCCGCGGUAAUUC
rnacentral:rRNA from 1 species